UAUACGACCGUACCGCAAACCGACACUGGUGCGCGAGAUGAGUAUUCUAAGGCGCUUGAGAGAACUCAGGAGAAGGAACUCGGCAAAUUGACACCGUAACUUCGGAAGAAGGUGUGCCCUAUUAGUGUGUAGUGAACAACGAAGCAUGAAUGGGUUGCAAAAAAUCGGUGGCCGACUGUUUAUUAAAAACACAGCACUCUGCAAACACGAAAGUGGACGUAUAGGGUGUGACGCCUGCCCGGUGCUGGAAGAUUAAAUGAUGGGGUGCAAGCUCUUGAUUGAAGUCCCAGUAAACGGCGGCCGUAACGAUAACGGUCCUAAGGUAGCGAAAUUCCUUGUCGGGUAAGUUCCGACCUGCACGAAUGGCGUAACGAUGGCCACACUGUCUCCUCCUGAGACUCAGCGAAGUUGAAAUGUUUGUGAUGAUGCAAUCUCCCCGCGGAAAGACGGAAAGACCCCAUGAACCUUUACUGUAGCUUUGUAUUGGACUUUGAACAGAUCUGUGUAGGAUAGGUGGGAGGCUUUGAAGCAGGGUCGCUAGAUCUUGUGGAGCCAACGUUGAAAUACCACCCUGGUGUGUUUGAGGUUCUAACCUAGGUCCAUUAUCUGGAUCGGGGACAGUGCAUGGUAGGCAGUUUGACUGGGGCGGUCUCCUCCCAAAGCGUAACGGAGGAGUUCGAAGGUACGCUAGUUACGGUCGGACAUCGUGACGAUAGUGCAAUGGCAUAAGCGUGCUUAACUGCGAGACUGACAAGUCGAGCAGAUGCGAAAGCAGGACAUAGUGAUCCGGUGGUUCAGUAUGGAAGGGCCAUCGCUCAACGGAUAAAAGGUACUCUGGGGAUAACAGGCUGAUACCGCCCAAGAGUUCAUAUCGACGGCGGUGUUUGGCACCUCGAUGUCGGCUCAUCUCAUCCUGGGGCCGUAGCCGGUCCCAAGGGUAUGGCUGUUCGCCAUUUAAAGAGGUACGUGAGCUGGGUUUAAAACGUCGUGAGACAGUUUGGUCCCUAUCUUCCGUGGGCGCUGCAGAUUUGAGGAAGCCUGCUCCUAGUACGAGAGGACCGGAGUGGACACACCUCUGGUGUAUCGGUUGUCACGCCAGUGGCAUUGCCGAGUAGCUAAGUGUGGAAGAGAUAACCGCUGAAAGCAUCUAAGCGGGAAACUCGUUUCAAGAUGAGAUCUGCCGGGGCCUUGAGCCCCCUAAAGAGUCGUUCAAGACCAGGACGUUGAUAGGUCAGGUGUGGAAGUG
rnacentral:rRNA from 1 species